rnacentral:rRNA from 1 species
UACAGAGGGUGCAAGCGUUGUUCGGAAUUACUGGGCGUAAAGCGUGCGCAGGCGGUCUGUUAAGACCGAUGUGAAAUCCCCGGGCUUAACCUGGGAACUGCAUUUGUGACUGCAUGGCUGGAGUGCGGCAGAGGGGGAUGGAAUUCCGCGUGUAGCAGUGAAAUGCGUAGAUAUGCGGAGGAACACCGAUGGCGAAGGCAAUCCCCUGGGCCUGCACUGACGCUCAUGCACGAAAGCGUGGGGAGCAAACAGG